rnacentral:rRNA from 1 species
UGGGGAAUUUUGCGCAAUGGGCGAAAGCCUGACGCAGCAACGCCGCGUGAGUGAUGAAGGCCUUCGGGUCGUAAAGCUCUGUCAGAGGGGAAGAACCGCUAGGUGGCUAAUACCUGCCUGGUCUGACGGUACCCUCAAAGGAAGCACCGGCUAACUCCGUGCCAGCAGCCGCGGUAAUACGGAGGGUGCAAGCGUUGUUCGGAAUUAUUGGGCGUAAAGCGCGUGUAGGCGGUUUGUUAAGUCUGGUGUGAAAGCCCUGGGCUCAACCUGGGAAGUGCAUUGGAUACUGGCAAACUUGAGUACGGGAGAGGAUAGUGGAAUUUCGAGUGUAGGGGUGAAAUCCGUAGAUAUUCGAAGGAACACCGGUGGCGAAGGCGGCUAUCUGGACCGAUACUGACGCUGAGACGCGAAAGCGUGGGGAGCAAACAGG